AACCUUUCAGACUUGAGGUGAAAUUUAUGUCUUCAGUAGUUCAGAGGCGCAAAUUCUGUAUUCUUCAGUAAUAAUUCUCACCUCGUGACAUUGAAAGAAACAGAGAGAGGGGGGGAAAUGAUGAGGACUGCUGUUGGUAAUGAUAAAUAGUCGAGGAAAGGCUGUCGUUGUUACACCCGUGAGCAAGCGAUUAUCGAGCGCGAGACCACAAAAGACCCUCGACAUGGUUGAUUGCGCAGGAAGGCGCGAAGCUGGGCAUCUUCUGUGGUCCUCCCGCACACACAGCCUCCCAUCUGUUCCGCCUGUAGCUCAGACUUCCCGCCUGUUCCACGGGGAGUGGCGCGAGGUUCGAUCAACAUCCCGUCUAAUGGAUCCAGAAGUAGAUGUUGGUUCAAAUCCCCGUGUGGGAGGGAAGGGGAGAGAGGGUGAUUCGUCUCGAAUGUCACCCGCUUACUACUCUCUACCCUUUCUCUCCACAACUUACAGCCCUUAACCCCCUGCCCAGUCCCUCCCUCUCUUUUUUUCACAUUUCAAGCAUGGCGGAUACGUGGGAUUGAUUAUGCAAAGCAGGUGUUGUGAAAACACGCAUUUCCAUACACUGAUGAGCUUUUGAGUGGCCUAUCACUAAGAUCCAGGUUCCUUCUGUCGGAAAAUGAAAAGAAAAAGAAAUAUUUCCAGCUGGAAAAGAAAAAAGAAAUGUCUCCCGCUGAAAAAGAAAGAUGAAUAAAGGCUCUCCUGCCCAGACCGUAGCGAAGACGAGGGCCAGGUGAAAACGCGGGUGUGGGCCGAGACAGCAGCGUCUGGAUUUUCACACUCGAUGACAAAAGCGAGGAAAGUUGAAGCUGCACUAGCGAUGACAAGAUGAGACCAGCCUGGCGGGGGAGGAUUCAGGCAGGCAGGCCGUGACCGCCGGGUAGGACCGGGAAGCCACUCACACCGCAGCCCCACACGGCACAAGGGAAACAACUCAUAUUUCUUGCCAACGCUGCAACAACCAAGGAAUAACACAGAAUCUGCCAGAAACAUUACCGGCGGUUAUGGAAGAGACAGAACUACCUGGAGGCCUGACUUCUACUGACAGAUGAACACAAGCAUUCUGGUGUCGACUUCCACCUACACCCAGGGUAGAUUGCUUUUCAUUGCUCUUCAUCGGACUCCGACACACUGGGCCCCUCGCUCGCUCGGCAUCGAAGACAUACACGCCGACAAAACAUUAUUCGCUCCUCCAUCGCUCCCCCAAGACAAACAGCAUAAAACACAAACAUGGUGUUAGAAAUACUGUCAGGGUCUUUCAGCGGUGAGUGUGCAACUCGUGUUUGUGAAAUCCCUCCAUCUGUUUUUGCGGAUUCGGAGUUCUUUCUGCAUCUUUCUAACGACUUUUGCCCCAAGUAGACUCAAGAUUGUUUGUUUGGCCCGACGGUUCCCUCCUUCCCUAGAAUCAUGGGAAGGGGAGAGAGGUCUAUAUCCCCAGCCACCUCCAUCCCCGACAGGUCUGGAUAAUAACAUUUUUUUUCUUCUCUCACUCUUUCUCCUAUUCACUGAUCUCAUUUAUGUUUUCGCUAGCUCGGUCAGUCUUUUCUCUUUUUUAACUUUCAUGCGCACUCACAUACACACGCACAUAGAUAGCAACGGACGGACGAAUAUACGGCUUUCAAAAUAAAAGCUGAUACAUGCACUUUCUGUUUGUUUGUUGUUGUUUUUUAUUAUUUUUUUAGUUUUUUUUUUUAACUCUGUUCCUCGGAUUUUACGGGGUCUGUGUUUGGAAGCGAACCUCGCCACUUGCAGCAAAGGUCGGGGUGGCGAAGGAAGAAUAAUUAUUCAUUCGUUCGCUUCACCACAGCUUACCACACAUGCGCGCCGGAAAAUACAUCGUAACAUGGUCCUCUUCAUGGUUCACCUCCAGUUCAAGCAAGCUUCUGAGGGAUAGAAGCAAUAGUGAGUGUGGGAGUGCCCAGACACGACUCAAUCAAGCAUGGUCAACAAGCAUGGUUACUCCAGACCAAAGCCCCGGGAGUCCGACACACCAUGACCGAGAAGAUGUCAAGCGAUGGAGAAGGAGAACUUUCAACUCCGGGACCCACCAGAUCCUUGCACCGACUCCUCUUCAGAGCGCCCUAGGGAACUCGCCGGCUGCUGCAAACAUUUGAAAACGUCUCUUUUCGUCUCGCUUCUCGUCCCUUCUCGCUUUCUGGUGCCACUUGUCCUCGCCCGUCUCGUCUGGCCGACGACAGACGAAGUCGAAACAUGGUGAUUGAUGUAAACACCGUGCAGCAGCUCACUCCUGCCAGACCACCCGACUGAUCUCCCCUUUCCUCCCUGCCCCCCGCCGCCAUUGUUCUAGCUCGCAGCUGCGCAAAGACAAGAAAGGAGAGCAAAUCAGGUCUUUCGAGCAAACAGGUCAUGCCGUAAUGGCCGCGAAUUUUGACAGGAUCAAAAUUAAAGCUUGCAGACAACCAACGUGUCCGGAGACAAAGAGUAAUUUUCCCCGCAGGUGGAUGAGAAAAGGGUGGAGGGAGGACACACAACGGAGGGGCUGUCAUGGCGGAACGGAUUAUCGACUCAAGUGGGGUCGGGUGGGAGACGGACAUAGCAGUGGUGAUGGUGUGAUGGUGGGGAGGAGAGGGGAUCCUCCAACUGAUUCGAUCGAUUAAACACGAACAAACUCUUCUAUCCUCACCAUCCACCCCGACAUUCGCCGGCCACGAUCAAACGGUGAUUGUUGUGACGAGUUGCGGUAGUCGUGGUGGUCGGACAAACUUUAAAUUUCAAUACCGCAACAUCUUAUUUAGUAGGUAGUCAUCUGGAGUCCAAUGGGUGCCAUGAAACUGCGAACAGAUAGGUGUCUCUUCCAUCUUAGCCAUCGGAUAUGCGAUUUGUAUGUAUGUUAGCCCGCUUGUCCACUUGUUCCACCGCUUGCCUCUUCAGUGCUGGAGUGUAGUUUUCAUGAAACUCUAAAUUCUCAUCCUACCACUCCAUCCAUCUGUAACAGAACCCUCUUUGCAUUUUGUGUCCCGUUAGGUUUAAUUGUACAAUGGAACCUGUGCCUUCAAAGAUGUGUCGGCUGCUUUUGAAGUUACAAGUUAAUUAACCUGUUCAGGGAUACGUGAUGAGUAAUGAACAAUGGGAAGACUGAAGUCUUUUGUGAACUUGACAUCGAAUUAAGAAAACAGAAAUUGGUCUGAGCCUGGUAUUGAUUAGGAAUGUCACGUGUCUAGGCAAAGCUCUUGUUGAUUUUAUUAUUUGUUUAUGUGUUUUGGUUACAGUAGUUGUCAUCAGUGCUUGACAGUAAUCUUGAAUGUUGUUACCACCAGACUUCCACAUCCACAGGGUGUGCACAGUCCUUACAUGCAAGAGCGAAUGCUUUACGAGUACAAAUUAUCUUAAAAGUCAUUUUUUAAAUAUUGUUAUUGUUGCUGAUAUGAAUCUUAAAAACACUCUUACAACACACGGAAGGAACACAGAAAUAUUUUGGAAACAAGAGCACACAAACACUUCGACAUACACACCCUCCCCUUUCCAAAAAAAAAAAAUUCACAAAAUGGACAGGCUUUAAUGGCAAUGAAAACUUCACAAAAAAUUAAUACGAGGAUACACGACAAAAAGAAAUGUGGACACGUGACUUAAUGGAUGGAUGGGUGGGCUGACGAGAAGGAAAAGAAAAUUCACAUGGACAUGAGACAGUGGCGCUCACACCAGUUCCAAACUGCAAGUGGGUGUUGCAGGAAGGGAGACAAGCCGCGGUGUCAAGACAGGUUGCUAAAUACACCGCAAAAAUAAUGAGAUCUUGAAAUUCCCCAUAGCCACUCUUGGGCCAACCAUGAGGACGUCUGAUCGAAUUCCUGGUAAAGCUGUUAGACUAAAAACAAUGUCUCGAGCAGGAAGACGGGGGAGCGAAAAAAAUCGAUGUUUUCUUAAAUUCAUUUUCGGACAACCAAAUCGGCUUCUCCUUCGGAUCCAGCCCUUGCAAGGGUUAACACGUUCCAAGUUUUCUUAAUCGAGAUCUUGAAGGUUUAUAUUUUCAUGGACAUCAAUAAUGUUUCCAUCCCUUUCCUGAUCACGCGUUUUCAACGAAGUUUCCCCAAAAGGUCUUUCCUUUCUUCUCCGGUUCUUCAGAACUGGACUACAUCUUUGUUAAAAAAAAAUUAAUACAAAUAGAAAAAAGAGGGCAGUAUAUGAUCAGGAUUUAAAAAUUAUUGACAAAUAUUGGACCGAUGUUUGAUUGUACAUGUGACUUUUUUUCUAUGAUUUUU
rnacentral:lncRNA from 1 species